rnacentral:rRNA from 1 species
CGGCCGCGGUACCCUAACCGUGCGAAGGUAGCAUAAUCACUUGUUCUUUAAAUGAGGACUCGUAUCAACGGCAUCACGAGGAUCCUACUGUCUCCCCCCUCUAAUCGGUGAAACUGAUCUCUCCGUGAAGAAGCGGAGAUGUACAUAUAAGACGAGAAGACCCCAUGGAGCUUUAAACCCAACAACACCCGCCCCCCUCCAAAUCCUAUUAUUUACCCGGUGAUUGUUUGUUUGGUUUUAGGUUGGGGUGACCGCGGAGUAUAAGAUAUCCUCCAUGAAAAAAAGCUAACUGCCCUUAUUAGAGAAAGACACUUCCAAAAAAUAAUAAAUUAAUUUUAAAUGAUCCGACAUUCGAUCAACGAACCAAGUUACCCUGGGGAUAACAGCGCAAUCCGUCCCGAGAGCCCCUAUCGACAGGCGGGUUUACGACCUCGAUGUUGGAUCAGGGUAUCCCAGUGGUGCAGCAGCUACUAAAGGUUCGUUUGUUCAACGAUUAAAACCCUA